AGUAGUAUAGCAGAGUGGACAGGGCUUUGAUCUUGGGAAUCAGUCAGUCUGGGUUUGAGUUCCGGUUCUGCUA
rnacentral:tRNA from 1 species